CCAUCUCUCCGCCAUAACCGUAACUUCCUAGUUUUUGGACAAAGCGAUCGGCUCUGCGGACGUCGAAGCGCUCUCUCUCUCUCUCUUUCUCUCGCGGUCACUCAGAGCAGUGAGUUCUGAUUCCACUGCACAUUACAUACAAAAUCUCUAUCUAUCUCGGCGUAGAUAUGUAUGCACGCACAGCAAGGGCUCGGACCACCGGCAUGCCGAUCGCGGUUUGCGACGCGACGUACGAACUGGAGUUUCGGUCGACGGUAGAUGACGCGUGGUACAGCGUGCGAGUCGUGCUCGAUGACGACACGCUCGUGGUGAAUUUCUUGAACUUUUCGGAAGCGCACGAUGAGAGGUUCCGAGCCGGCGAUUUCGAGACGGCCAAGGCCGUCGACGAGUUUGUCGAGCGCUUCCGGCCGGUGUCGCAGCAGUUGCAAGAUAGCCAGUGCUCGAGUGUCAUCGAAGGCAUGACCGUCUGCGCCUCUUUUGCCUUCGGACAGGAUGAUGUUCGUUUCUACGAUGCUGUUGUCGAAGAUGUGCAGUAUGUGGAACAUUCAUUUGCUAAAGGAGAAGAAGAAUGCUUAUGCAACUUCAUCUUAUUUUGGCAUCAUGGUCCAAAUGAGGGUAACAAAAUGCCUGCCACUGUCACAAACAUAUGCCUACUCCAACCUUUUGCACAAAUUGAUUCUAGGGUGGUCUCCUUCUCAAAGAUGGCAAAGGAGAAAUUUGUGACAGCUUCCCUUAUGUCUGCCUCAGUUUCUGGUGUUAAAACUUCAUUGUGCAAGGGGGGUGUGCCUGACUAUGAAAAUAUUAAUUUGUCAACCAACCCAAAGUGUAGUUUAUUUCAAAGCGAGAUCCAGGUAAAGAAGAGUUUUAGGUACUCUGGUAGCUCUGUAAAAACAGAAGAAGGGAGGAUCGGCAAAUGUCAUGAGUUGGACUUCCAGCAUGUAGAUCUUAGAGGGGGAUCCAGUACGGGAGAAACUGGAAGUCAACAUUUUAUACUACUCGAAAAUUUGGAGAAAGAUUUGUCCCCAUUAUCGAUUAUGGACUUCAUUUAUAAACAAACAUCUAUCUCUCCACAAGCAUAUAAUAUUUCCCAAGUUUAUCAUCAGAAUCAUAUACAAGGGGCGCUAUUGUAUUGGAUUGUGAGAAGCAGCGUGAGAAGAUAUACAAGUUUAUAAAUAAUCCUGAUCAUUCUAUCAUAUCAGCAAGGGGAAGGCCUUGGAUCAUAGCCGAAAGAUUUUCAAGAUAUGGACCCUUUAAGACUGCACUUGGGAGCCUAAUGACAAUGUCUAAGGUAAAGGAGGGUACUUGCAAGAUAUGCAGAUCAAAUGGAUUGGCAAAGAAUGUGUGAGCAGUUAAAAGAGGAUAAAUGAGCUGGCACCCUUUGAGAAGCUGAUCUUCUGUAAAUAAACUGAGAGUGAUGAGGUUCUAAUUAUGGCAGCCGGAACGGUAGUUAGGAAUUUAAUUAAAGGACCUCUGUUAGUUGUAGGAUCCUUUUAACAGUUGGUAGUUUUUCUGUUAAUAAAUCAUAUCAACAAUUUUGGGUAGAAUUAAGGCUUGGUAUGUUAUAGUAAUCUCUACUAGACUUAACAGGAGCCUGGUUCCUUUCCCUACUUGUUCUGCCCCAUAAAGAAGCAUAGAAUAUUCUUAAAUAGAACUACAAUAUAUAGAACAAUAACAGGUACAGAGCUUAAUCCCACUUAAUUGGGUUUGACUAUGUGAUUUCUAGACCUCCAUGAAUAAAUAGAAGAAUGAAAAAUAUAAUGUCCAAAGCAAGUGGUUUGGGUGAUUUACAAUGGAACUGUCACGAAGAGGUGCCGCCUGCCUCGAAUGGAUAAUUUGCCUGAUUUGGCAUCAGUUCUUGAUUUCUUCAGAAAUGAAUC